GCGGUGCUAGUCGUGGAGGAAACACCCCUCAAGGCCGCGGGGUUUGGUUGCACACAGGCUGCAGUUUCAGUUUGUUUUAUUCACCAUUUUGAGUAGCUCAAGGUAAAAAAAAUUAAGAAUAUUUGCGUGAGGAGGAAAGGUCGCUGCCCUGCUUUGGUUUUUACGCGCUCGCUCGGACGGUGGAGUUGUGCGUCAGCCGAGCUCCCCCCUUUGCAGAGCGGGAAUCUAUAUUUCUUUUUUUCCCCGUGCUUUUCUUCUCCCCCCCUUUUUCUUACAUCCGUAACCUCUACAGUAUUCCUGCAAAAUGUCAAGACCAGUGAGGAACAGGAAGGUGGUGAACUACUCACAAUUCAACGAGUCAGACGAUGCAGAUGAGGAGUACGGUGACAGUAAGCCGAAGAAGGUGCGCCCAGCCCCUCGUGAGCCCAAGCACAAGCGCUCAAAGAACUCACAGGAUGACAGGUGAGC